rnacentral:rRNA from 1 species
CCUACGGGAGGCAGCAGUGGGGAAUAUUGCACAAUGGGGGAAACCCUGAUGCAGCAACGCCGCGUGAAGGAAGACGGUUUUCGGAUCGUAAACUUCUGUUCUUAGUGAAGAUUAAUGACGGUAGCUAAGGAGCAAGCCCCGGGUAAAUACGUGCCAGCAGCCGCGGUAAUACGGAGGGGGCAAGCGUUGACCGGAAUUACUGGGGGGAAAGGGAGCGCAGGCGGGAAGCCAAGUCAGCUGUGAAAACUACGGGCUUAACGUGUAGACUGCAGUUGAAACUGGUGUUCUUGAGUGGAGUAGAGGAUGGCGGAAUUCCGAGUGUAGCGGUGAAAUGCGUAGAUAUUCGGAGGAACACCGGUGGCGAAGGCGGCCAACUGGGCUGUAACUGACGCUGAGGCUCGAAAGUGUGGGGAGCAAACAGGAUUAGAUACCCUAGUAGUC